rnacentral:lncRNA from 1 species
GUCUCACAGAAUUUCUCAUGUAUUCACAGAGAGUUAAUGCAUAAAGAUGUGAACUUGGCCUGGGGCUACUGAGUGAAAGCAGGAGGGAGUGGGAAGAGAGCGCCCGCUGGGGGGCGCUUGGAGCCUUCGCGGGAGGACCCGGGCUGUCCGGGGGCCUGGGCUGCCCUGAGGCCAGCGCGUGCUCGGUGGCUCCUCUCUGUGUGAUGGUGGCUACCGGUUACUGACCCUUUCCGUCUGCACAUUAGCUUAUUCGCGCCUCAACAACUUCCUGAAGAAGGUGGGACUUUGUCGCUGUUGCACAGACCUCAGCAUCUGUUUGUCUAACCAGGAAAGAGAGUGGGGAAGUCAGCAAGGACUGCUGUGCACGCUUUAUGUAAGUUUUCCUCUGUCAAAGGAGUUUAAAUGGGUAAUGAACAGGCCGUGGUGAUUUGAAAU